UACAGAGGGGGCAAGCGUUGUUCGGAAUUACUGGGCGUAAAGGGCGCGUAGGCGGCCUUCUAAGUCGAACGUGAAAUCCCCGGGCUCAACCCGGGAACUGCGUCCGAUACUGGAAGGCUUGAAUCCGGGAGAGGGAUGUGGAGUUCCAGGUGUAGCGGUGAAAUGCGUAGAUAUCUGGAGGAACGCCGGUGGCGAAGGCGGCAUCCUGGACCGGUAUUGACGCUGAGGCGCGAAAGCCAGGGGAGCAAACGGG
rnacentral:rRNA from 1 species